rnacentral:rRNA from 1 species
UACGGGGGGGGCAAGCGUUGUUCGGAAUUACUGGGCGUAAAGGGUUUGUAGGUGGCUUGUUAAGUCAGACGUGAAAUCCCUCAGCUUAACUGGGGAACUGCGUCUGAUACUGGCGGGCUUGAAUCCGGGAGAGGGAUGCGGAAUUCCAGGUGUAGCGGUGAAAUGCGUAGAUAUCUGGAGGAACACCGGUGGCGAAGGCGGCAUCCUGGACCGGCAUUGACGCUGAGGCGCGAAAGCUAGGGGAGCAAACGGGG